UCUCCUUUAAACAUGCCAAGGGAAUUGGUUAUUUAAAGGAAUCUAUUGGCAAAUGCUCCUCUUGGAAAAUGAAGGAUCUUCUUAUAAUUAAAAUAAUCACCCCAUGUUCUAUUUUACAAGUCUGAUUAUAUUUCAAUGCCAGAUUCUUUUCUUGGCAGGUGGGAGGUGUUUGGUUUGAGUGGGAAGAGUAUAGCCCAGAGGAGAAGUCAGGAUCCAAAGCCAGAAGCCCAUUUGCUUUCUUAUCCUCCUUCUUCUUAAAUCUUAGGGGCAAGAUGGGACUUAGACCAGGAGUGAAAGUGUUGCACCGAACAUGGAUUUCUCCGCAAAGAGAAGUUGUUGCUCCAGGCCAGGGGAGAGUUGCCUUGCCCACCGCGACGCCAGACAGUGAUCUCCACAGCAGCCAGAUAGACCAAGUGGGUGGAGACGGAAAGCGAAGAGAGUCCCGUCUUGUAAUUGUCCUGUGCAGUCUUUGGGGCAAAUUUGUCUUGCUGGCUUGAAAGCUCCGAGACCUCCUGAUGAAAAACUUUCCUGAGGAAAUUAUGUUUCCAUCCCUACCACCUUGCCUGGGCCCUGGCUCCUCCGUGGAUACUUAAGAAAGGUGUGUUGUGAAAUCGAGUCAGUACUUCAUGAUGUGUUAGGUCAUGAAAUCAUGGAAUCAUACUUAUCACAAUGCCCUAGAGCUGUGUGUUUGGUGUUCUCUACUAAAUUGUGGUUUUCCAAAAUAUGGCAUUUAUUCAUUUCUAUAUCCUUGAUAUUUAAUGUAUGAUCUGGAACACAAUAGAUGUUCAAUAAAUUAAUGAAUAAAUAAAUGAA